CCUACGGGUGGCAGCAGUGAGGAAUAUUGGUCAAUGGACGAGAGUCUGAACCAGCCAAGUAGCGUGAAGGAUGACUGCCCUAUGGGUUGUAAACUUCUUUUAUAUGGGAAUAAAAUGUUCCACGUGUGGGAUUUUGUAUGUACCAUAUGAAUAAGGAUCGGCUAACUCCGUGCCAGCAGCCGCGGUAAUACGGAGGAUCCGAGCGUUAUCCGGAUUUAUUGGGUUUAAAGGGAGCGUAGGUGGAUUGUUAAGUCAGUUGUGAAAGUUUGCGGCGCAACCGUAAAAUUGCAGUUGAAACGGGCAGUCUUGAGUACAGGAGAGGUGGGCGGAAUUCGUGGUGUAGCGGUGAAAUGCUUAGAGAUCACGAAGAACUCCGAUUGCGAAGGCAGUUCACUGGACUGCAACUGACACUGAGGCUCGAAAGUGUGGGUAUCAAACAGGAUUAGAUACCCUUGUAGUC
rnacentral:rRNA from 1 species